rnacentral:rRNA from 1 species
GAUGAACGCUGGCGGCGUGCCUAAUACAUGCAAGUCGAGCGAACGGACGAGAAGCUUGCUUUUCUGAUGUUAGCGGCGGACGGGUGAGUAACACGUGGAUAACCUACCUAUAAGACUGGGAUAACUUCGGGAAACCGGAGCUAAUACCGGAUAAUAUUUUGAACCGCAUGGUUCAAAAGUGAAAGACGGUCUUGCUGUCACUUAUAGAUGGAUCCGCGCUUCAUUAGCUAGUUGGUAAGGUAACGGCUUACCAAGGCAACGAUGCAUAGCCGACCUGAGAGGGUGAUCGGCCACACUGGAACUGAGACACGGUCCAGACUCCUACGGGAGGCAGCAGUAGGGAACCUUCCGCAAUGGGCGAAAGCCUGACGGAGCAACGCCGCGUGAGUGAUGAAGGUCUUCGGAUCGUAAAACUCUGUUAUUAGGGAAGAACAUAUGUGUAAGUAACUGUGCACAUCUUGACGGUACCUAAUCAGAAAGCCACGGCUAACUACGUG